CAUCCUCCUCAUCCCCCUCAUCUCGGCCAUCUUCAAUCUCCUCCAUCACUUCAGCCUUGGCCUCGGCCACCAGCUCCCGCAGGGCCUUGUUGCUGGUGACGCUGCUGACGAAGGGAUGCUGAGAGGGGCAAGACAGCUGGUUCAUUUGUGAACGGCCAGAAGCAAUACCUGAUCACCCGGGGACCUGACUCUGCACACCAGAAACCAACGCAACUCACUCCUGUUAGAGAGCUCUGGCAUUCAGACUGCUCUAAACCAGCUGGACUUCCUCUAGGUAGUACCAGCUUUGAAAGGCAUGAAGAAUUUAAUUUCUCAUCCUUCUCUCCCACACCCCUCUUCAUUUGUCGAUUCACGCCUCGGUCCCAUGUUGAGGCCAGCAACGUGCUAGGUGCUGAAAAAGGCCAAACAAGCAGACAGGCAAGGUCCCUGGCCUCGGGAAAGACGAAGGGCAUGUCACCAGAUGACAAGAACAUUUUUCAGAUCAGAGAGGCACCUUACUAGAGUGGUCAAAUGAACAGGUUUGGAACCAGAUGACCAGAAAUCAGCUCUGUCGCUUACAUGCUGUGUGACCUUCUGCAGGCUACUUGACCUCUCUGUGCCUCAGUUUCUUAUCAUUUGUUUGACGGAGAUCCAAACAAUACCUACUUCACAGAGUUGUUAUGAAGAUUAAAUUAGUUAACAUUCGCUAAACACUUAGAAUCGAACCUGGCAUGGGAAAAAGCUUACAUAACAGUUUACUAAGUAAAAAUAAAUAUAUUUAGCAAAUAUUUAGUUGAAGGCCCUCUCCAUACGAGGCACUGUUCUGGAUGACUGGGGCGCACUGGUGAAAACAAAACAAAACAAAACAAAAGCUGCUGUCCCCAGGGAGCUGACACGCUGGUCAGGGUGACCAGCAAUAAACCUGAUACACACGUUAUACACUCUAAGUGCUAUGUGCCAUGGAGAACUAAAGUGGUGCAGGAAGACUGCCCUGGUGGUCCAGUGACUGAGAAUCCGCCUUCUAAUGCAGCAGACACAGGUUCAAUUCCUGGUUGGGGAACCAAGAUCCCGCGUGCCUCAACUAAGACCCAAUUCAGUGCCCCCCACCCCCGCAAAAAAAUGUAGGACACAGGAAGGAGAAUUAGGAAUGUGAGGGGUGCAGGUGGUUUGCAGUUUUAAAUAGAACACUUGGGGGAGGCCUCACUGAGAAGCUGCCAUGUGAGCAAUGAUUUGAAGAAAGAAAAGAGGUGGAGGUGUCUACGGGAAGAGCAGCCCAGGCAUAGCGGACAGCCAGCGCAAAGGCCCUGAGGCAGGAGGGCGCCUGGAGUGUCAGCAAGGAGGCUGGUUGGCUGGGGAAGAGUGAGGGGGUAAGAGAGAGACAGAUCUGAGGGAUCAAGGUGAGACAGGCAGAACUUGCAGGACCCUGCAGGUCACUGAGACUGGAUUUUAUCCUGAGUAAGAUGGAAGUCUCAAGCGGCAUGGACUCAGGAGGUAUAGGGGCUGACUUGUGCUUUUCCCUCGGCUACAAUGGAGGUGGUGAGAAGUGGUUGGAUUCUGGGCAUGUUCAGAAGGCAGGGAUGAUGGGACUCCCUGGUAGAAUGGAUACAGAGUGUGUGAGAAAGACCGGGUAAUCCCUCUGAGAAGAUGACUGCAAGGUUUGGGGCCUGACUGCUGGCAAGGUGGGGCUGCCAUCAACUGGGAUGGGAAAAUCAUUGCUAGAGCACAUUUGGGGAAAGAUCAGUGGCAGACUUGUUAAGUGUGAGAUGCCUGUGGACACCUAAGGCGGGCAGAGAAUACUAAGGGGGGUGGAGGGUAAACAAUCGGACACAAGGGUCUGGGGUUGAGCAGGGCAGUCUGGGCUGCAGGCAAACUAGGCGAGCCCAUCGAGGUGAUGGAGACAGAGGAAAAGGCCCUGGCAAACCUCAUGUGAAUCAGCUGGAGAAGGAGAACAGCCAAAGGAGACAGGCUAGUGACCAGUGAGAAGGAAGGAAACCAAGAGGGCGUGGAGACCUGACAUCAGGAACCAACAGCAGGAAGACGCGGGUCGCCUGCGACCGCUGCUGGGGCCCGCAAAACCAGCCCUGCGGCCUGAGCUGACCAUGGCGUCCAGAGAUGCUGACAACCUUGAAAAGUACGCUGUGCUAGAGCGGAGCAGGUUUAAGAGCAAAUUCAACAAGUGUAUACUAUGCACCAGUGAUGCUCCAGACGUCAGGUGGCUACAGACCUGCAUCCACUCACACACUUCUGUGAUGUGAGCACAAUCCACCUCCUGCAGAGGAGGAAACAGGCUCAGGGUGAGGACCACUCCUUCCUGGCGGGUGAGCCUCAUUUCAGAGCCUGGGGUACCACCAAGUAAUGACAGUCCCAGCUAAUAUCCAGGCAAGCGAAUGAAUGGACCACAAGCCAGCAGGGGCAGAAGUCAGUCGGCUGAAGGCAGGAUGCAGGGAACGAUGAGGGCCAGGAGGAACCAGCAGUCAGGCAAGGGCUGAGGCGGGGGCGUGAUCAGCUCUGGAGGAGGCGCUAGCUGGCAGGACGAGAUCUGGGCUCGCGUCUGGCCACUCAAAGCCAGGUGACCUCAGUAGGCCUGUUCUCUUCCCUGAGCCUUGGGACCUCACCUAUGAGGGUAACAAUGCCCCACCCUCCCUAACUCAAGAGAUAAAUAGGGACAUGGAAAAAGCUGACGGUAGCCUAAGCUCUGCAAGCAGUUUUAUUUAUGUGGAGGGAUCUCUCUUUUCUUCUGCAACCCUUCUGUCUUAGCAAAGAGUCCUCUGGCAGGAAGGUUUUUUCCCCCAACUAUGGAAAGGAAAUUCCUGGCCCAGGCUGAGGCUCCCGCGCUGCCAUGGGGGAUGAGAGACAGCUGGUCUCUUCACGGCAGCGUCCCGGAGGCCGGAUGUUCCAGGCCGGGAGGUGACUGUUCACAGGAAACAAUCGGCCCGAGGAGCCUGGAGCUCUCGCAUCUGAGGAGGACAGCAGGCCACCCCACCCCCACCGCCGGCUGCCCAGACCGUCCCUGCCCAGCGCCUCCCCACCCGACGGUGAGGCCUCCGUCACUCCAGCCGCGAGACUGCAAACACAGUGCAGAAACCCACAAGGGACGAUCGUGACCCCAAGCAGAUAACCCCGGUCUGCAUCCCCAUUUCUUUCCACUUUUAAACAAU